rnacentral:rRNA from 1 species
AUUGAACGCUGGCGGAAUGCUUUACACACGCAAGUCGAACGGCAGCACGGACUUCGGUCUGGUGGCGAGUGGCGAACGGGUGAGUAAUGUAUCGGAACGUGCCCAGUCGUGGGGGAUAACGUAGUGAAAAUUACGCUAAUACCGCAUACGAUCUAUGGAUGAAAGCGGGGGAUCGCAAGGCCUCGCGCGAUUGGAGCGGCUGGUAUCAGAUUAGGUAGUUGGUGGGGUAAAGGCCCACCAAGCCAACGAUCUGUAGCUGGUCUGAGAGGACGACCAGCCACACUGGAACUGAGACACGGUCCAGACUCCUACGGGAGGCAGCAGUGGGGAAGUUCGGACAAUGGGCGAAAGCCUGAUCCAGCCAUUCCGCGUGCAGGAUGAAGGCCCUCGGGUUGUAAACUGCUUUUGUACAGAACGAAAAGGUUUCUACUAAUACUAGGAGCUCAUGACGGUACUGUAAGAAUAAGCACCGGCUAACUACGUGCCAGCCGCCGCCGUAA